rnacentral:lncRNA from 1 species
UGCGCCCCGGGCCCAUUGUUAGCAGGCUAUUCCACGGCAGCUUUGCAUUUGGCUCCGGCGGGAAGCGGAAAACGGGAGGCGGCUCUCGAAGCUUCCCGACCUUCCUGCGCCAUCAACUUCUCAGGAGUGGCUGGAGAAAGAUGCAUGUGCCAAGCGAGACAACAACCCCAGGUCCAUGUGUCCAAAUCCCCGUAGCCAGGGCGGCGGCCAGCCAAAGAAAUGCCGCCCCGAGCAGGCGCGUGCGGCUCCUGGCAUUCUGGGUUUCAUACCCGUAGGGCUCGGGUGCGGUUCUCAGAAUGUGAGCAGCAAGGAAUGUAGAACUCUCAAAACAAAUCUAGUAUUUUUCGCGUUUACAGAUUUUUUUUUUCAGUUUUGCCGGAUGUUACAAACCUAAAUCACUGUUUUCAAAAGCUGGAUCUUCUCUGGUUUUAUUGCAUCAUUACCGUUUAAAGGAAUUAUAUUUCUCUUUCAAAUAAAAAAAAUUCUAAGUACGCCAAUACACAAUUGAACAAAAGGCCCAAGAACCCUUCUGAACCAUCAGGGUACAGAAUUCUUUAAUAUAAAUACGAACGGAUGGGGAUAAAUAAUAUUUAAAACUUAGAUUAUUCAAUGCUUGCAAAAAAAUAUAAAUAAAUCUGACUGUUCACCAGCAUACACACACGGAAAGACGUACACUUAGUCAUCCUUGCACAGAGAGCCCCUGUUUCAAAGCGCCUUUGAUUU